rnacentral:pre_miRNA from 8 species
AUAUGAAUCACCAGGGGAUCUUGUAAGAACACAGAUUCUGAUUCGGGGAGCUGAGAAUCUGCAUGUCUAACAAGCUCCCAAGUGAUGCUUUG